rnacentral:rRNA from 1 species
CCUACGGGUGGCAGCAGUGAGGAAUAUUGGUCAAUGGGCGGAAGCCUGAACCAGCCAAGUAGCGUGCAGGAUGACGGCCCUACGGGUUGUAAACUGCUUUUAUACGGGAAUAACGUGCCUUACGUGUAGGGUUUUGCAUGUACCGUAUGAAUAAGGACCGGCUAAUUCCGUGCCAGCAGCCGCGGUAAUACGGAGGGUCCGGGCGUUAUCCGGAUUUAUUGGGUUUAAAGGGAGCGUAGGCUGCAGGUUAAGCCUGUUGUGAAAUUUUGGGGCUCAACCGUGGCAUUGCAGUGGGUACUGGGGGGCUUGAGUGCAGGAGAGGCAGGCGGAAUUCGUGGUGUAGCGGUGAAAUGCUUAGAUAUGACGAAGAACCCCGAUUGCGAAGGCAGCUUACUGGAGCGGAACUGACGCUGAUGCUCGAAAGCGCGGGUAUCGAACAGGAUUAGAUACCCGUGUAGUC